CCAACCGCCACGUCCGGCCGCUUUGAAAUCCUUUUGCUGGGAUCGGGGCGUUUGUUCUCGUCAGCACGGUUCACACCCGGGGCGGAGAAAAGCGCCCACCGAGCCACUGGGGGGGGGGGNGCCGGGGGGGGGGCGGGGGGGAAACUGGCACCCCCAGCCCGCCCCGGGGGGUCUAGGGGCGCCCCAGGGCCUUCCUGCAGUUGAGGGGGGCCUCCGCUGCACACCCUAACAGCAGUGCACCCUUAGCCUGUGAGCAAUUACAGUGACUUCUUACCUUGUACUCAUAAGAAAAUGCAAAUACCUGAGUGUCCAGUUACAUCCGCACACACUGUUCCUUCUACGUAUUUCUUCCUACAAUGCUCUGGCUUGGUUUAGAUUUCACACUUUUCCCUAUCGCCAGGUGCAAGGCUGAGGUAAAACUGCCUCCCUCCCUGCCUGCUUCCAGCUGCGGAAACAAGCCAGGAAACGCAUGGCAAAUGGGACUUGCAACAAUUGCCAGUUUUGCUUAGUUGCAAUCUCUUGUCAACAACACAGGUCAAGAAGCCAAGACCACACAAAAUCAAUCAAAAGGAGAAGUACUCUGGAUAUCUGAAAAAUCACAGCCAGCAACUAUCUGGAGCCAAGCUCUAUCUUUGUGGUUAGUUUCCAGGAAACAUACGGGUGGGUGUUGUUUUUUUUUGUUUUUGUUUUUGUUUUUGUUUUUUUUUUUUGUAGUAACUUGUCAACAAUGGUGCUACAGUUACACACAUGCAAUAUCAUUUUCACAGAACAGAGACACUAACACAUCAUUUUCUUCCCUCCUUUGUAGCCUUCCCCUUAUGGUAACUAUUUUCUAAUUCUGUUUUUUUCAUAUUUAGAUACAAAAUGCAAGCUCCACAAAAGAAGCAUUCUUCACAAAUAGCCCCUACAUAAAAAAAUCCACACAUACUUGUUUCAGUCCCAUUUUUCAUUACACAGAAAAUUCAAACAUGUACGUAUCUGUGUAACUAGUAACAUUUUCCACAGUCCAGAAGGAGAACUAUUCCCUCCCACCCAGACAACUGAAAAUACCGCUGCUUCAGUGAGAAAACUGAAAAGUGAACUGCAUUACCAAGUAACAGUAAGUAAAGCCAAACAUGCUUGUUA
rnacentral:lncRNA from 1 species